AGCAGCUUGCUGCUUUGCUGACGAGUGGCGGACGGGUGAGUAAUGUCUGGGAAACUGCCUGAUGGAGGGGGAUAACUACUGGAAACGGUGGCUAAUACCGCAUAACGUCGCAAGACCAAAGAGGGGGACCUUCGGGCCUCUUGCCAUCAGAUGUGCCCAGAUGGGAUUAGCUUGUUGGUGAGGUAACGGCUCACCAAGGCGACGAUCCCUAGCUGGUCUGAGAGGAUGACCAGCCACACUGGAACUGAGACACGGUCCAGACUCCUACGGGAGGCAGCAGUGGGGAAUAUUGCACAAUGGGCGCAAGCCUGAUGCAGCCAUGCCGCGUGUAUGAAGAAGGCCUUCGGGUUGUAAAGUACUUUCAGCGGGGAGGAAGGUGUUGUGGUUAAUAACCGCAGCAAUUGACGUUACCCGCAGAAGAAGCACCGGCUAACUCCGUGCCAGCAGCCGCGGUAAUACGGAGGGUGCAAGCGUUAAUCGGAAUUACUGGGCGUAAAGCGCACGCAGGCGGUCUGUCAAGUCGGAUGUGAAAUCCCCGGGCUCAACCUGGGAACUGCAUUCGAAACUGGCAGGCUUGAGUCUUGUAGAGGGGGGUAGAAUUCCAGGUGUAGCGGUGAAAUGCGUAGAGAUCUGGAGGAAUACCGGUGGCGAAGGCGGCCCCCUGGACAAAGACUGACGCUCAGGUGCGAAAGCGUGGGGAGCAAACAGGAUUAGAUACCCUGGUAGUCCACGCCGUAAACGAUGUCUACUUGGAGGUUGUGCCCUUGAGGCGUGGCUUCCGGAGCUAACGCGUUAAGUAGACCGCCUGGGGAGUACGGCCGCAAGGUUAAAACUCAAAUGAAUUGACGGGGGGCCCGCACAAGCGGUGGGAGCAUGUGGUUUAAUUCGAUGCCAACGCGAAGAACCUUACCUGGUCUUGACAUCCACGGAAGUAUUCCAGAGAUGUGAUUGGUGCCUUCGGGAAACUGUGAGACAAGGGUCUGCAUGGUCUUGCUCCAGCUCCUGUUUGGAAAUGGUUGGGUUAAGUCCCGCAACGAGACGCCACCCCUUUAUCCUUUGUGUGCCCGCGAUUCCGGUCGGGAAACUCAAAGGAAAACUGCCCCGUUAAUAACCUGGUAAAAAGGGGGGGCAAGAACGCCAGAACAAUCCGGGCCCUUUAAUGACGAGGGUUACCCC
rnacentral:rRNA from 1 species